UACGGAGGGUGCAAGCGUUGUUCGGAAUCAUUGGGCGUAAAGCGCGCGUAGGCGGCUUGGCAAGUCGGUUGUGAAAGCCCGGGGCCCAACCCCGGAACUGCAUCUGAAACUGCCUGGCUAGAGUCCCGGAGAGGAAGGCAGAAUUCCCGGUGUAGGGGUGAAAUCCGUAGAUAUCGGGAGGAAUACCAGCGGCGAAGGCGGCCUUCUGGACGGUGACUGACGCUGAGACGCGAAAGCGUGGGGAGCAAACAGG
rnacentral:rRNA from 1 species